CUUUCUUGAAGGUGUUCAGCUCAUCUAGUAUUACCCUGAUGAAUUGUUGCAGUGACAGGUUAUGGAUUCAAAUGCAAGUUUAGUGGCCAUUAAAAUAAACGGUUUUACAAGGUGGGGAACGGAAAUCAGAGAAUCACAAGGAAGGUUGGUGACGCGCGCAGUGAAGCUUCCACUCUUUUUUACUUUGAUGACUGGGCCUCUUUGAAUAGAAAGUAGGGGCUUCUUUUUACAUACCCCUUUUUUCUCUUUGUCUUCACAUUGCUCGUCCUUGUUUGACAAAAAUAUUCUAGUCUAUGUAAGACCCAAUACUGCAGCGAUAUUACGAAAAUUAGUCUAUGUAAUUUAUGUAAUGCAUGAAAAAAUUACAUUUCAAAAACAAGAUUUUGUAAUGUACUCAUAUAGCUAGUUAAGUGGAGUUAGGGAGGACUUCAGAUGUGUCUAUAUGUAUGAGAAUCAUAACAUUACGCAUACAUUGCUUGAUCUCAGAAUCUUUUAAAAGUCAUGUUUGGUCCUUGGGUCAGGUGGGCUACACACAAAUCGCUUGGAUCAGUUACUAAGAAACUUUGCACAUGUGUUAAGCUUAAGUCACCGUAUUGGAUUAAGACACGUGCAAUGGGUUCAAAACAAAACGAAUGAAGACAUAUAUGGCCACUAUCUAGUACUAUGUUUCCUUUUCCAAUCCUCACUAAGAAGGAGGGAUGAAACACGAUGGCACCCACAAAAAUUGCAUAUUUUCAAUUCCCU
rnacentral:lncRNA from 1 species